rnacentral:misc_RNA from 1 species
GUGAAUCAUCAAAUUUUUGAACGCAAAUUGCACUCUCUUCGGAGAGUAUGCCUGUUUGAGGGUCGUUAGAAUAAAAAAUCGAGGCGUCGCUCUUUUUUGUAAGGGUGAUCGCGUCGGAAUUGAGCCGUCUUUCAAAUGUUAAUUCAUGUCAAAGUGGAUUGAAAUUAAUCCAUCCGGUACGAUUAAAGCGUAUUUAUUAUCAAUCUUGAUUAAGAACGCGCGAUGACUUACCAUCUCAUGUAGUACGUUUGCCU